AGAAGAUAUUGCCGCCACCGAAGGCGGAGGAGGGAAGGACGGCCAAGAGCGACGCCGCCGUGUGCCCAACGGUCGGUGUCCCCGGCUGAGGCAGCGCGGCCGCAGCAGCCCCGUUUGAUCUGUGGAUGAAAUGAAUCAUGAUUUUCAAGCUCUUGCAUUAGAAUCUCGGGGAAUGGGAGAGAUGCAGAAAAAGAGUCCAGUCACUCCUCUGGGCCACAAGAGGGCACCCUGCAGCUAGCUAACCCUUCCCUUCUCCAGAACAGCGUUUUCCAAAGAGUUUGUCAUUUUC